UCGAGGGAGAAGCCCUUCGGGGCAGAAACCGGCGCACGGGUGCGUAACGCGUAUGCAACCUACCUUUCACAGGGGGAUAGCCCGAAGAAAUUUGGAUUAAUACCCCAUAGAAUAAUGGUAUGGCAUCAUAUUAUUAUUAAAGCUACGGUGGUGAAAGAUGAGUAUGCGUUCUAUUAGCUAGUUGGAGAGGUAACGGCUCCCCAAGGCUACGAUAGAUAGGGGUUCUGAGAGGGAUGUCCCCCACACUGGUACUGAGAUACGGACCAGACUCCUACGGGAGGCAGCAGUGAGGAAUAUUGGACAAUGGUCGGAAGACUGAUCCAGCCAUGCCGCGUGCAGGAUGAAGGUCUUAUGGAUUGUAAACUGCUUUUGCAGGGGAAGAAUAAGGACUACGUGUAGUUUGAUGACGGUACUCUGUGAAUAAGCAUCGGCUAACUCCGUGCCAGCAGCCGCGGUAAUACGGAGGAUGCGAGCGUUAUCCGGAAUCAUUGGGUUUAAAGGGUCUGUAGGCGGGCUGGUAAGUCAGAGGUGAAAGCGCUCAGCUCAACUGAGCAACUGCCUUUGAAACUGUUGGUCUUGAAUGGUUGUGAAGUAGUUGGAAUGUGUAGUGUAGCGGUGAAAUGCUUAGAUAUUACACAGAACACCGAUAGCGAAGGCAUAUUACUAACAAUUAAUUGACGCUGAUGGACGAAAGCGUGGGGAGCGAACAGGAUU
rnacentral:rRNA from 1 species